rnacentral:rRNA from 1 species
CCGAGUUUACAACUCCCAAACCCAAUGUGAACGUUACCAAACUGUUGCCUCGGCGGGAACUCAUGCCCCGGGUGCGUCGCAGCCCCGGACCAAGGCGCCCGCCGGAGGACCAACCAAAACUCUUUUUGUAUACCCCCUCGCGGGUUUUUUUAUAAUCUGAGCCUUCUCGGCGCCUCUCGUAGGCGUUUCGAAAAUGAAUCAAAACUUUCAACAACGGAUCUCUUGGUUCUGGCAUCGAUGAAGAACGCAGCGAAAUGCGAUAAGUAAUGUGAAUUGCAGAAUUCAGUGAAUCAUCGAAUCUUUGAACGCACAUUGCGCCCGCCAGUAUUCUGGCGGGCAUGCCUGUCCGAGCGUCAUUUCAACCCUCGAACCCCUCCGGGGGGUCGGCGUUGGGGAUCGGCCCUCCUCUUGCGGGGGCCGUCUCCGAAAUACAGUGGCGGUCUCGCCGCAGCCUCUCCUGCGCAGUAGUUUGCACACUCGCAUCGGGAGCGCGGCGCGUCCACAGCCGUUAAACACCCAACUUCUGAAAUGUUGACCUCGGAUCAGGUAGGAAUACCCGCUGAACUUAAGCAUAUCAAU